UGAGAGUUUGAUCCUGGCUCAGGACGAACGCUGGCGGCGUGCCUAAUACAUGCAAGUCGAACGCUUCUUUUUCCACCGGAGCUUGCUCCACCGGAAAAAGAGGAGUGGCGAACGGGUGAGUAACACGUGGGUAACCUGCCCAUCAGAAGGGGAUAACACUUGGAAACAGGUGCUAAUACCGUAUAACAAUCGAAACCGCAUGGUUUCGAUUUGAAAGGCGCUUUCGGGUGUCGCUGAUGGAUGGACCCGCGGUGCAUUAGCUAGUUGGUGAGGUAACGGCUCACCAAGGCGACGAUGCAUAGCCGACCUGAGAGGGUGAUCGGCCACAUUGGGACUGAGACACGGCCCAAACUCCUACGGGAGGCAGCAGUAGGGAAUCUUCGGCAAUGGACGAAAGUCUGACCGAGCAACGCCGCGUGAGUGAAGAAGGUUUUCGGAUCGUAAAACUCUGUUGUUAGAGAAGAACAAGGAUGAGAGUAACUGUUCAUCCCUUGACGGUAUCUAACCAGAAAGCCACGGCUAACUACGUGCCAGCAGCCGCGGUAAUACGUAGGUGGCAAGCGUUGUCCGGAUUUAUUGGGCGUAAAGCGAGCGCAGGCGGUUUCUUAAGUCUGAUGUGAAAGCCCCCGGCUCAACCGGGGAGGGUCAUUGGAAACUGGGAGACUUGAGUGCAGAAGAGGAGAGUGGAAUUCCAUGUGUAGCGGUGAAAUGCGUAGAUAUAUGGAGGAACACCAGUGGCGAAGGCGGCUCUCUGGUCUGUAACUGACGCUGAGGCUCGAAAGCGUGGGGAGCAAACAGGAUUAGAUACCCUGGUAGUCCACGCCGUAAACGAUGAGUGCUAAGUGUUGGAGGGUUUCCGCCCUUCAGUGCUGCAGCUAACGCAUUAAGCACUCCGCCUGGGGAGUACGACCGCAAGGUUGAAACUCAAAGGAAUUGACGGGGGCCCGCACAAGCGGUGGAGCAUGUGGUUUAAUUCGAAGCAACGCGAAGAACCUUACCAGGUCUUGACAUCCUUUGACCACUCUAGAGAUAGAGCUUCCCCUUCGGGGGCAAAGUGACAGGUGGUGCAUGGUUGUCGUCAGCUCGUGUCGUGAGAUGUUGGGUUAAGUCCCGCAACGAGCGCAACCCUUAUUGUUAGUUGCCAUCAUUUAGUUGGGCACUCUAGCAAGACUGCCGGUGACAAACCGGAGGAAGGUGGGGAUGACGUCAAAUCAUCAUGCCCCUUAUGACCUGGGCUACACACGUGCUACAAUGGGAAGUACAACGAGUCGCAAAGUCGCGAGGCUAAGCUAAUCUCUUAAAGCUUCUCUCAGUUCGGAUUGUAGGCUGCAACUCGCCUACAUGAAGCCGGAAUCGCUAGUAAUCGCGGAUCAGCACGCCGCGGUGAAUACGUUCCCGGGCCUUGUACACACCGCCCGUCACACCACGAGAGUUUGUAACACCCGAAGUCGGUGAGGUAACCUUUUGGAGCCAGCCGCCUAAGGUGGGAUAGAUGAUUGGGGUGAAGUCGUAACAAGGUAGCCGUAUCGGAAGGUGCGGCUGGAUCACCUCCUUUCUAAGGAA
rnacentral:rRNA from 1 species